AUCGAUAAAACAAUACAAACGUCAUCGCAAGCGUACAAUAUAAUUAUAAUUAUAUUUACAUGAACACGAGCGGGGUACACAAUAUUUAUUACGGUAAUAUUUAUAAUAAUAAUAUAAUCAUAAUAUACAACCACGGUUAUAGACGGAACGGUUGCCGAACGAGUUGUGAUAAGGGAGCUUCGCAUUAGUGGUACAGUCUUCGUAACGCUCCGCACGGAAACGUUAACACUAUUACACCGUGCAUAUGUUUACUAACGAUACGGUUUGUUGCCGUAAUAACGAUUUUUAUGUAAUUUAUUCCAUAGACCUAUUAAAGAUCGUGGACUGAUAAUCCCUAUAGUUCCCCAAAGGCGGCACUGUUAGAAGAAGAUAGAGACGGAUUUUUUUUUGACAGAAAUCGUAGAAAACAGGCGUAUAGUGAAUAUUUAGUAUGUUCUUGCGUCAGCUGGCUAGUCCUCGGGAAGACUAUAAUAUUAUAUCAAUCACGAUUCUACCCAUUGGCCCAUAAAAAGACCGAUUACCCGAGCCCGAAUUAAGAGUUGUGGAGGACCGGGGGUCCAAAUUAAUACAAGGAGAUUUAUUCUAUUAUAAUGGAAUAAAUACGCAAAAAAAAAAAAAUCGACCAAAUAUUUUAUUCAACCCAUGAUUUUUACGGGAUCUUGUUUCUCGUAAGCCCCGGGUACGUGGCCCCCUCUGACCACCCUUAAUCCGGGCCUGUAACUACCUACCAUAUAACUGAUAAUAACCACUUUGAUGUUUUUUCCUUCUACGAUAUCUCAAUGUUGUUCGUCUUUUUCUGCAAUAAUGUCGAAACUCAUACGUCUCUUUCUACUACUAUCCGUCCGUCUCUUUACAAGGUCUAUGAAUCAUCCGUAUUCCAAUAUACAGUAACUACAACAGUAGUGUAUGUAGUCGGUAGAUACACUUAUCUGCUAUAAUUUUUUUUAAAAAAACAUUCGGGGUCCACGAUGAUAAUUUGUCCACGUAUUACAGUUCGUCCGCGGUAACCGUUCCACCCGUAAUCGUGUAUAUACAACAUUAAUUAUAAACGAUCAAUAUGAUAUUUACACAAAACCGCAAUUCGUUACAAUAAACAUAAUACAAUAAACAUUGUUGGUACUAGCGUAAUAUGAAUAAUUAUAUUGUGAUUAAAGUAGUUUACAUAGAAUCGACUGUUUGACGUAGAUAGGUAUAUAAGUACACGAAAAUAUUAUAAGUAUAAUCUUCCGGUCGAAUACAAUCGAAAACAUUACGGACAAGAAAUGGUAUUAUAUAUAUAUAUAUAUUUUUUUUUUUUUUUUACGGCGUACUAAAACAGUAAAUCUAUAAUAAAUUCGAAUGUAAAACAAACCGACGGGUAGGUAUGGUAUAGCGGUACAUAAAUUAUUAUAUACCACGAUUGCGUUACACGGACCACUUAAAUAAUUAUCGUAAUCGCGAGUGUGUGAGAGGAGAGAGAUAUGUAGAGAGAAAAAGAGAGGGAGAGAGAGAGAGAGAGAGAGAGAGCUUAAGUAUAUUAUAUAGUACGCGUAACCUUAACGUUUUAAUGCGCCUGGCAACCGAUCUCGGAAUAAUAAUAAUAAUAUUAUUAUUCCGUAUAGUACGGUAAUUUUCCGCGGGAAUUGUACAGAGCGAUCCGUUUGUCUAACCAAACGAUUUUCUUGGACGAUGUCGAGGGGAUUUAUUUCGUUUCGCCGUUAAAUAAUGUACAGAAUCGUUUGAGGUUUAUUUAACACUGUCCUCUGCAUUAUCUACUCGUGUUCCUCAUAAUAUUUAAACAAGUACACGAUUUUUAACGCUAAUAUAUCGGAUUUAUCGUUCGUAAGUUAUAACUGAGUUAUAGCGGUUAAAAGUUCAGACCGGAGGAGAAAGAAAAGGGUUAAAUGUAUCGUUUACAUUCUUAUAAUUCCUCUGCUAAAUCCAAUAAUAGUGUUGUGCACAUGAAAACUUAUGGACAAAUAGCCACUUUUCGAAUCUAAAUUGAAGGUUUCUUUACCCCCGUACAAGGUAUGAGGAGCGUGGCUGAACAGUAGGAUAUAGUUUUAAAAUAAAGCGUAAACGACUUUAAAAUGAUUGAAAGAUACUAGAAAUCAAUGAAAUCCGUUGAAAAUUCUUUGAGAAAAGCCCCAGCUCAUGAUGAAUGGACCACCCUGUAUAUUAUAACGAAAAUGUUUUAUUGACGCGUCGACGGAUAAUUUUCGCAAACUCGUGAGAGGGGGGGGGGUGGAGGACGUUAUGAAUAAUAAUUAUAUUACUUAUGAAAUUAUUAUUUCCCCUGUCGAGUGUACAUAGGAGUACUGCACUUACACUGCCGACAUCGUCGUUCCGGAAGAAUAUUUAUUAUGUAAUCGCGCAAUUAUUAUAACUCCGAAUACGAGUUUGUUUUAUCAUUUUUUAAUUUUUUUUUUUUUUUUUUUUUGAUAAAACAUGAAACAACUAAUUUAUUUGCAUACGUGAUAUUUUAUAUUUAAAUAUAAUGUGCGCCAAACGGAAUAAACGUCCGAAAGCGUCGGCCCAAAUCGCAAAGGUCGUAUACCAUCGUGUUCAAAAUGCCAAGUAUUGUUCGAGGGGAAAAAAAACUAUAGAUAAUAUAAUAACAUGUGCAUUUAUAAAUUAUUUUGUUAGUCCAACAUUAUAAAAAAAAAAAAAACAAUACAGUACGUGUAACGAUUUUCCAACUAUAAAAAAAUACUAUGUCGAUUAUAAUUAUUAUUAUUAUUUUUUUUUUUAUCGGGCUCGGAAUUAUUUAUCUUUAUAAUUAUCAUCUCUAAUAUUAUCUCUUAUUUAACACGAAUAUACGACCGUGUAUGGUUUUUGCGUCGGAGUUAGAACUGUUUCGCGGUUUAUCGCGGAGUCGGACGAAAGAACCGAACGACGCGGACGUUUUUCCUGACAUUUGAAUCGUAAAUAAAAAGAGUUACUACCUUUGUGGUCUGGGUAGGUCGGCGAUAUUUUUUUUUUUUUUACAGAAGCGGACGCGUAUAAUCGUAAAUCCGGACGUUAAUAACGGCCCGGAUGUUUCGGGCGGGCUCAUUAUUAAUUCCCGUACGAUUGACAUCGAUCAUGUACAUCUACGCUGUGUGUUCGGCUGUAUGCUAAUUGUGGCCCGAUACCCGAACCGGGGAAAAAAACAAUACACUAAUUGAGUCUGGGGUAUAAACGAGAAACAUAUCGACCGAGUCCGCGGUUGGGAAACCGAAAAUAUACUAAUUGAUGAUUCCGAGUAUUACUUUGAGUAAAAUACAAAAUCAACCAUAAUACACGAUGAGACCGAUACGGUUAUGAAGACCGUUUACGUGCAUAUAUCAUCUUUAUAACUUUCGUAUUAUAACAAAUGUUUACCAAUAUUAACAAUGUAAUUUUGAUGUUUUUUUGUAAAAAAAAAAAAGUUCGACGGGGACGCAGUCGGUAUUAAAACAUGGACUCGAUGAUUAUUAUAGCUAAAAUUUCAAAAUGACCCGAUUAGUGUAUGUACCUAAAACCAACCGGGGACUCGAUUCGUAUGCGGCCGAGUGUUUACUCGUCGAGCGCUUGAUUUGGCGGGGGCGCGGCCGAUAUUCGGCAGGACUGAGGUUCCCUGGCCCGCCGUUCGCGCGUUACGGUACACGAAUCUGUGAAACGCAGAUCGCCGAAAUUUUUAACCGCUGGUAACUGUGCGCAUGGACGCCAUUUGACGGGGUUCAGACUGCAAUUCGGCGGUCCUGUUUUUUGUGAACGUGUCUUUUGGCCCGCUCGUAAAAUGUUAUACAAACGCUCCGACGUCGAUAAAACGCAAAACGCAACCACUGUCAACGGUCGCCUCCUCCGGGGCCCGGCCGUUUGAGAUAUUGUAAAUGUGAAACACGGACGAUCACGGUUAAUAAUUGUUUUUCACGGCUUACGGUUAACGAUAGUGCCGCCGUGGUAUCAGCGCGAUUUUAAUGUCGCCCGACUGAUUGCAGCGAACAGAGUAUGACGCACGGUGUUGAAUUCAACGUGUGGUUUCUUAAUUGUUUUUAAAAAGAAACAUUUCAGUAUUUGAAUGUUAAAACGCGUACGGCGGGAAUACGAGCGAACGGAAUUUGUUUUUCUUACACACGAACAAGAUACGACAACAUAUCAGUGGCCUGGCGGCGGCGAAAAAUUGGCCCGGUUCAAACGCGUUCGCGUCCCGAUCGAAAAACAAAAAAAAAAAAAAAAAAAACCGAAAUGCCCGCGCCACCGCACGCGCGUCGACCGUUAUUACACGGCCGCGGGCCGUUAGCGUUCUUGUAAAAAGUCAACGGAUUUCACGCCCGGCGAAUUACGCCGGCCGUCGCGGUGCGUGAAAAAAAAAAAAAAAAAAAAAAAAACCCGCGUAGCUAUUCGGCCGCCCGCGUAAUAACAGUACACGUUAAAUACGAACGUAUACAUUAUUACGUUUACAAAACAAAGUUAUAACACCGCGAGUAUUCGUUAAAAGCGUCGCGUGCCGGAGGGAUCGCGAUUUAUAUUGUACAAAUUACUACCUACGCAAGUCUCGUAUGAUUUAUUGAAAUUCUACAAAGGUUUUUAUACGUAUAUACCGUGUAAAUAUAGAUUUCGUUAUGUUACGCGUACACACAUCGUACCUACUUGCGUUAGAAAACGGCGUUAGGUUUGAACA